AUGCGCCCCGCGGCCUCGAAGGUGGCCGGGAAGGAGAAGAGCAGGAGGAAGGGCGGCGGCGCCGGCGCCGGAGAGCAUCUCCUCACCGACCGCGUCCUCUCCCUCCGCGCCCGCCUGCACGACGCCCUCUCCCUCGGCCUCGCCAGGUCUGAUGGCCACGGUGCAAAAAAAUGGCAGUCUACUGAUGCUGGAAUUCAGUCUCACGCGAUCAAAGCAGUGACUGCUUUUCUCGGUUGUUUGUCAACUGAAAUGCUGCGGCUUCCUCCUAUAAAGGAGUCGAUUUCGGAUAUUCUCGUACUCUUGGAAGGUGUUCUUCAGACAAAGAACGUUUCAGUUCUGAUCCAAGCAGCAGAUGUGAGCUCAAAGUUAGUUUCCAGCAUAGGCAAUUCGAUUCGGCAAUACCCAAUUUUGGAGAUUGUUUCGCCCCUCUCAUGCCAGUUGUCGGCACACCAGUUACCUACAGCUAUCUCAUGUGCAAGGGCGAUGAAUUGCAUAUUGAAUAGCCUAGUGACGGCGAGAGGUUCAACUCAUGCAGAAAUUUUGGAAACCUUGGAGAGAACCAAUGCAGUUGCAAGUAUUGUUUCAGCUCUGCAGAGUUACACUCCUGAUGUCCAUCCACUGAGUUAUCUGACCGAGAUGAUAUCACUGCUAAGAACCAUACUGUGGAUUUGGCCUUCCUCAAGAUACCAUGUAUGGAGUAAUGGCAACCUGAUGGGGAAGUUAGCACAUUACUGUCUUGCCACUGAAACAACGGUUGUUGCUAAAGUUCUUAGGCUGUAUGCUGCUUUAGCUUUAUGUGGCCAUGGAGCUAUGAUCCUUCUCAAGAACGAAGUCUUAAUGGCUAAGAUUUGUGAGCUCGUGGGAACGUCCCAUCCGAGUAGUACUAGGAUUGAAGCGUUCAAACUCUGCCAUAUUCUUUUGAGAUCUUCGAAGGGCUGUAGUCAGUUAAUGACUUCACGCUGCCAGCCUAUUGUUGAAGGCAUAAUCGAUGCAAUGCGUGCAAAGGAUGAUAAAUUGUUAGUAACAGAGGGGUGUCGUACUGCACUGCUGGUGCUCCGUUAUGCUGGGAAUCAUCACCAAUGCUUUUGGUCUAAUGCCAUUGAUAAAGUAUUAUAUAGCAUUCUUACCGGUCGCUGCCUCUCCUCACAUCAAAGUGAUAAAGUAUUGUGCGAUGAUGAGCUAUUUGAUAUGGUUUCCAAAAACUUCAUGGAUAUACAUCCAUACGUCUGGGAUAUACUUGGAUAUCUAGUGGUGCAUUGCACUGAGGAUCACCAUCCUGUAAGGAAAGGGAAAGGUCAUAGCUUGCACGCACUGAUAUCUUGUGCUUGCUUGCUGGCCACAGAUGUUAUGCGCAAAAGCAGCCCCAUGACAUUAUCCAAAGAUGUGCAGGAGCCGGCUUUGAGGGCAGUUCUGAUGAUGCUUCUCUCUCCCAAUGGAUAUAUUCAGUAUGAGGCAAGUUUUAAACUUUCAGAAGGUCUUCCAUAUUUGGGUGACGGCUAUUUGAACGUUCUGUUGUCAUCAUUAGAAUCAAAUACUACGAGAAGUGUUGCCACAUCUUUUGACAGUUUCAAAAUUAUGACCAACCUCAUGAACCUCGCAUGUUUGGUGCUGUCACGACCUUACCAUAAUCUCCUUAACAAGAGGAAUCCUAUUGAUGUGUUGUCCAUCAUUAUCAAGGAAUGUCUCCACAAUAAUAUACAUAUUACGAGGUCAAAAGUCACUUCCCAUCUGCAUUUUUGUUUUGAAGGAAGUUCAUGCUGUUGCUAUCUCGGUGAAGAGUGGGAGGGUGAAAACAUAGUCUUAUUCUACGGUCUUGUUGGGCUGUUUAAUCUUCUGAGGAGCACUACUUUAGUUUGUGUUCAGUGUAAGAGGAAGUUGGAUGUUGGGAUUCUGUGCCAUGACUGCAGAGAUCAGUAUACCGAAGAUUUUCUUAUAGUUCUUCAACGUGCUCUAAGUCAAAGCUUGAGUUCUGGACCGAAGCUCUAUAUUGCACACAUCCUGAGUUUGUUUGGCCUCUGCGGUUCUCCAAGCAAGUUGGGCGGGAAGAUGAGUAGUGCAUUAGAUAAUAACGAUCUAGCUGAUCUGGAACUUUUGCUUUCAGAUGGUGAAUCUAUAAAUACUCACACAGCCAUCAUAUCAGCAAGGUGUCCUAAGCUGUUGCCAUCUGGAAAAUGUCUACUUGGCAGUGACGAAAAAGUUAAAGAUGAAUGGGGAAAAUCAGUGUACCGAGUUCAAAUGUCUGAUCGUGUAGAUAGCCACGCCUUGAAGAAGAUUUUGGAGUACACAUAUACUGGUUUUGUGAUGGUAGGUGAUGACAUUGUUAAACCAGUAAGGACACUUGCGAAGUAUUGUCACCUGAAACCAUUGGCAGAAAUGCUUCAGAAAGAGCAACCCAGAUGGAACUCCGAUUAUACCAGAUAUGAUCUUACUGUUGCACUUGGACCUGUUGAGCAUUCAUUCUCGGACAUAAUUUUGGAGGCUCAGUCAAACGAGGAAAUGAAGUGUGACCAUGGGCCGUGCCAAUUGUCAACCCCGCACGUUCAUAGCCAUAAGACCGUGCUGAUCAUGAGCUGCGAUUACCUCCGGGCAUUAUUUCGAUCCGGGAUGCACGAGAGCUUCUCGGACGUCAUCAGGGUUCCGCUCGGGUGGCAAGCGCUGGACAAACUAGUCCACUGGUUCUACUCAGGCGAGCUGCCCAGUGUCGCCCUCGACUGCCGGUGGAACAACCUGAGCAGCGACGAGCAGCGCUCCCACCUGAACGCCUACGCGGAGCUGUCGUCGCUGGCAGAGUUCUGGUUCCUGGAGGGGGUGAAGGAGGAGAGCCUGUCGGCGGCCUCGUCCCUCCUGGGCUCGAGCACGAGCGCCGCCGCGGUCGAGUUCGUCGCGUUCGCUGCCAACCUGGGCCAGUGGGAGAUGGUCGAGGCCGGCGUCCGCAGCGUGGCGCACCUGUACCCCCGGCUGCGGGACUCCGGUCGGCUGGAGCGGCUCGACGAGGAGCUGCUCAACAUGCUGCGGACCGAGUACGUCCGGUACUCGCAGCACGGGGGCGGAGGUAACUGA
rnacentral:rRNA from 1 species